AUUGAACGCUGGCGGCAUGCCUUACACAUGCAAGUCGAACGGCAGCACGGGAGCAAUCCUGGUGGCGAGUGGCGAACGGGUGAGUAAUAUAUCGGAACGUGCCCAGUCGUGGGGGAUAACGUAGCGAAAGCUACGCUAAUACCGCAUACGAUCUAUGGAUGAAAGCGGGGGAUCGCAAGACCUCGCGCGAUUGGAGCGGCCGAUAUCAGAUUAGGUAGUUGGUGGGGUAAAGGCUCACCAAGCCGACGAUCUGUAGCUGGUCUGAGAGGACGACCAGCCACACUGGGACUGAGACACGGCCCAGACUCCUACGGGAGGCAGCAGUGGGGAAUUUUGGACAAUGGGCGCAAGCCUGAUCCAGCAAUGCCGCGUGCAGGAUGAAGGCCUUCGGGUUGUAAACUGCUUUUGUACGGAACGAAACGGUGAGCUCUAAUACAGUUUGCUAAUGACGGUACCGUAAGAAUAAGCACCGGCUAACUACGUG
rnacentral:rRNA from 1 species